GAUGAACGCUGGCGGCGUGCCUAACACAUGCAAGUCGAACGGAGAUUACGGACGGAAGUUUUCGGAUGGAAGACUGUAAUUCUUAGUGGCGGACGGGUGAGUAACGCGUGGGCAACCUGCCCUAUACAGGGGGAUAGCAGCUGGAAACGGCUGGUAAGACCGCAUAAGUCGGCGAGACCGCAUGGUUUUGCCGGGAAAUGAGCAAUCAGGUAUAGGAUGGGCCCGCGUCCGAUUAGCCAGUUGGCAGGGUAAAAGCCUACCAAAGCAACGAUCGGUAGCCGGACUGAGAGGUCGGACGGCCACAUUGGGACUGAGACACGGCCCAAACUCCGACGGGAGGCAGCAGUGGGGGAUAUUGCACAAUGGAGGAAACUCUGAUGCAGCGACGCCGCGUGAGUGAAGAAGUAUUUCGGUAUGUAAAGCUCUAUCAGCAGGGAAGAUGAUGACGGUACCUGACUAAGAAGCCCCGGCUAACUACGU
rnacentral:rRNA from 1 species